GGUAAGAUGGCCGAGGGCUAGGCGGUGGUUUGUAGCUCCAUUAAGGAAGGUUAAAGUCCUUCUCUUACCA
rnacentral:tRNA from 1 species